CAGGUACUGAAAAGUUUUGUGUUUGGCAGGCAAAGGAAGGAGGAAUGAAGGUGGGAGCUGAGGAUGGACAACUGCAGCUGGAAAAGAGGCACACCAGGAGGAAAUUCCCCAUCUCCAGCUGAGAAGGAAUAUUUGCAGCUCUCCAGGCCUUCAAAGGGUGAAACAGGAACAGAGUGGAAGGAACAGAAUUCCUGUCCCUGAACCCCUGAAGCAGCAGGCUGGAAAAGGCCACUGGUGUAACUGGGCACAAGAGCCACCCAGGGGCCAAAGGGGCGCAGGACCAAAUUGCCCAGAUCCUUCAGUUUGCCUGCAAUGACAUUCCAAGAGAACACAGUGAGAGCUGAGCAGAGGGAAAACUCCAUGGAAUGACAC